ACUGCUCAGUAACACGUGGAUAACCUGCCCUUGGGUCCGGCAUAACCCCGGGAAACUGGGGAUAAUUCCGGAUAACGCACAUAUGCUGGAAUGCUUUUUGCGUAAAAUGGAUUCGUCUGCCCAAGGAUGGGUCUGCGGCCUAUCAGGUAGUAGUGGGUGUAAUGUACCUACUAGCCUACGACGGGUACGGGUUGUGAGAGCAAGAGCCCGGAGAUGGAUUCUGAGACAUGAAUCCAGGCCCUACGGGGCGCAGCAGGCGCGAAAACUUUACAAUGCGGGAAACCGUGAUAAGGGGACACCGAGUGCCAGCAUCCUAUGCUGGCUGUCCAGGUGUGCAAAAUACACCUGUUAGCAAGGGCCGGGCAAGACCGGUGCCAGCCGCCGCGGUAACACCGGCGGCCCGAGUGGUGAUCGUGAUUAUUGGGUCUAAAGGGUCCGUAGCCGGUUUGGUCAGUCCUCCGGGAAAUCUGACAGCUCAACUGUUAGGCUUUCGGAGGAUACUGCCAGACUUGGAACCGGGAGAGGUAAGAGGUACUACAGGGGUAGGAGUGAAAUCUUGUAAUCCCUGUGGGACCACCUGUGGCGAAGGCGUCUUACCAGAACGGGUUCGACGGUGAGGGACGAAGGCUGGGGGCACGAACCGGAUUAGAUACCCGGGUAGUCCCAGCCGUAAACGAUGCUCGCUAGGUGUCAGGCAUGGCGCGACCGUGUCUGGUGCCGCAGGGAAGCCGUGAAGCGAGCCACCUGGGAAGUACGGCCGCAAGGCUGAAACUUAAAGGAAUUGGCGGGGGAGCA
rnacentral:rRNA from 1 species